rnacentral:rRNA from 1 species
UACAGAGGUCUCAAGCGUUGUUCGGAUUCAUUGGGCGUAAAGGGUGCGUAGGUGGCGCGGUAAGUCGGGUGUGAAAUUUCGGAGCUUAACUCCGAAACUGCAUUCGAUACUGCCGUGCUUGAGGACUGGAGAGGAGACUGGAAUUUACGGUGUAGCAGUGAAAUGCGUAGAGAUCGUAAGGAAGACCAGUGCCGAAGGCGGGUCUCUGGACAGUUCCUGACACUGAGGCACGAAGGCCAGGGGAGCAAACGGG